rnacentral:rRNA from 1 species
GACGAACGCUGGCGGCGUGCUUAACACAUGCAAGUCGAACGAUGACGACCGAGCUUGCUCGGUCUGAUUAGUGGCGAACGGGUGAGUAACACGUGAGCAACCUGCCCUUCACUCUGGGAUAACCUCGGGAAAUCGGGGCUAAUACCGGAUAUGAGCUCCUGUCGCAUGGCGGGUGUUGGAAAGUUUUUCGGUGAAGGAUGGGCUCGCGGCCUAUCAGUUUGUUGGUGAGGUAGUGGCUCACCAAGGCGAUGACGGGUAGCCGGCCUGAGAGGGCGACCGGCCACACUGGGACUGAGACACGGCCCAGACUCCUACGGGAGGCAGCAGUGGGGAAUAUUGCACAAUGGGCGAAAGCCUGAUGCAGCGACGCCGCGUGAGGGAUGACGGCCUUCGGGUUGUAAACCUCUUUCAGCAGGGAAGAGGCGAAAGUGACGGUACCUGCAGAAGAAGCGCCGGCUAACUACGUG